CUCUCCCUCUCUCGAGAUUCCGACAAGCCACCUCCAUCUCAGCAGCCGAUCGUGACGCCGACGAUCGCCAGGCCGCCUUCCUCAUCCUCUCCUCCUCCACUUGGAUCCGAUCGGCGACCGCUAUUGCUUCUCCGCUUGGUGUCUCGGAUGUCCCACAAUCAUCACCAUUGUUGCCAUUUCGAGGAUUUCAGAUCUGCUAACGAAUGACUAUAAUUUUGAUCGCAAGUUGACAAUCUUGGCCUAGAGUGCUUCCGAAGUGGGUUCAUUGAUUUAGGUAUCAAAUACUGUUUUCAAAGGAGAAGAUGAUGGUGGUGGAGAAGCUCUCUUCCUUAUAAGGAAUCGAGGCCAGAGGCUUCAUAUUUGGAUCACCCAUUGCACUAGCUAUUGGUGCAAAGUUUGUCCCACUGAGAAAGCCAAGAAAGUUGCCAGAAACUCUGGAACUAUGCAUCUGGGAAGUUCUUGAAAGUAUAUACAGGCCAUGUCAACCAAGCUUACUGCAUCACAUCCACGUUUUCUGUUACAAAUGGUAAAUACAUUGUCAGUGGCUCAGAGGACAAUUGUAUAUACAUUUGGGAUCUGCAAGGAGAUAGCAUUAUCACAGGAAGUUGUGGUGUCAUCAAAACAGUUCUGGUAGUUGAUUGAUAUAAGCAAAAGGUUCACUUAUUCAGCCACAUAAGCACAGAAGGCAGGGAUGCCGGAGGUUGCCUUAUUAGGUUCAUGGACGAGGUCAACUCACAAGCUUUGGGUCAAGCGAUUACGACGCACUGCUUCCUUGCCGGAGCUUCUGCAGUUUCUCACUGAUUUCGUUGGUGCAAUACAUGAGGAAUGGUUACAUGAAUGCAGCGUUCCAGGGUCUAGUACAGCCAUCGAUGAAAUAAUUGUUUUUUUUCAGACUAUGCCACAAACGACAUCUGCAGUUGCACUUUGGAUGUUUAAACUUGAUACUUUGAUCUACCCUCAUUUGGAGAGACUCCAACAAGAGAGAACACCUGGAAGAAUGGCUCAGGAGAAACGCGCGGCUGGAACUGAUCUUCUCUUCUGUUUCCGAACGUCUGACAUCCAGUGGUUUGUUUUUUUUUGGAGCUUCAAAUUACAUGCAGUGAUGGAAGCCUGACCUUGUUCUUACACAGCAAAAAUUGAUGUCAAUAUUCACCACUCAAUUCAUAUAGUUCUUACAUUUUUGGUAGUCUCUCUGUUUCUUAUACUGAUGUUUGCUUUUGCAUGUUUUUCCUAUUUAUAGAAUAAAAAAAAAUUUAUCGUUUUGCUCCGUCAUAGAAGCUUGUUUCAUAGAGACAUCACCUUUGGUCUUAUAAAUU